rnacentral:rRNA from 1 species
AACACAUGCAAGUCGAACGGGCGUAGCAAUACGUCAGUGGCAGACAGGUGAGUAACACGUGGGAACGUACCUCUUGGUUCGGAACAACACAGGGAAACUUGUGCUAAUACCGGAUAAGCCCUUACGGGGAAAGAUUUAUCGCCGAGAGAUCGGCCCGCGUCUGAUUAGCUAGUUGGUAGGGUAAUGGCCUACCAAGGCGACGAUCAGUAGCUGGUCUGAGAGGAUGAUCAGCCACACUGGGACUGAGACACGGCCCAAACUCCUACGGGAGGCAGCAGUGGGGAAUAUUGGACAAUGGGCGAAAGCCUGAUCCAGCAAUGCCGCGUGAGUGAUGAAGGCCUUAGGGUUGUAAAGCUCUUUUACCCGGGAUGAUAAUGACAGUACCGGGAGAAUAAGCUCCGGCUAACUCCGUGCCAGCCGCCGCGGUAAUAC